UCCCCGGUCGUCUAACGGUAGGACAACGGGUUCUGGCCCCGUCAAUUAAGGUUCGAAUCCUUACCGGGGAUCCA
rnacentral:tRNA from 1 species